rfam:Labrenzia alba strain CECT 5096 genome assembly, contig: 0017
AUGACCGAUGCCAAGGCCAUCGAUGCGCAAGCCGGUGUUGAAAAGGGCAUUACCAGCCUGGCGGCGGCCCUGGCGGGUGGAAAUCUGAUCUAUGAAAGUUCGG